rnacentral:rRNA from 1 species
GACGAACGCUGGCGGCGUGCCUAAUACAUGCAAGUAGAACGCAGUUGCGAACGGGUGAGUAACGCGUAGGUAACUGCCUCAUAGCGGGGGAUAACUAUUGGAAACGAUAGCUAAUACCGCAUACUGUGAGAUGGACCUGCGUUGUAUUAGCUAGUUGGUGAGGUAAAGGCUCACCAAGGCGACGAUACAUAGCCGACCUGAGAGGGUGAUCGGCCACACUGGGACUGAGACACGGCCCAGACUCCUACGGGAGUCAGCAGUGGGGAAUUUUGGGCAAUGGCGGGAAUUCGGACCGAGCAACACCGCGUGAGUGAAGAAGUUUUUCGGUUCGUAAAGUCCGUUUGUUGGGGAGGCGGUAACCGACCAGAAAGGGACGGCUAACUACGUGCCAGCAGCCGCGGUAAUAC